rnacentral:lncRNA from 1 species
UUGCUAUCUCUCCUCUUCUUUGAUCUUUGCUUUGGGAGAACAUGGGCUAUCUCUUUUCUUUCUCUUUUUUUCAGGUGGGUAGUAGAUACCCCUAAUUCUACUGUCGGACACUUGUCUAUUUUUUUCCGCUCAAGUUGGCAUCUUUGUACCCCUAAUUCUACUCCGGACACUUGUCUAUUUUUACCUCUCGUCUCACUCUUCUUUCUUUCUUUUCAAGGUUCCGGGCACUUGCCCCUUUUUAUUUCCUCGCAUAUUUUUGCAUAACCCAUGCCUCUUCUGCAUUGAAUCUUUUUAGAGAGAGAAUACCAACAUUUGGGACAGUGAGUGGUAAUAUAUUUAGCAAUUUUAAUGAAUGGUGGUGGAUGGUGUAGUAGAUGUGUGC